rnacentral:rRNA from 1 species
GCAAACGCUGCACCGUCUGCCG